UUUUAAGUUAUGCCCGAGUUGUUGCCACCACGAGCCAACUGCCGCUUGUCGAUGUCCCACCACACUCCCUCGGGAGGAUCAUGAAAUUCUUGCCCUGGGCUCAGAUGAAGCGGGAUUAGCCUCUGGACCCCUCCUGGUGCAAGCGACAUGCCCUGCGGGAGCUCUGGCAUGUCUGCAAGCUUCAGUUGCUUCAUCCAUGAAGUGCAGAAAUCAGAUCAAUGCCAGGCAGAGAGACCCCGCUGCCACUCCUGACGUGUGUGCGUCCUCUGCAAGCAAGGGCCAGGGUAGGCAUGUUGACAUUACAUUUCAUGGUCUGAAUAAAGCCUUCCCCGACUUGACUUUGAAAGAGCAGCCUGUGGGGCGCCUGGGUGGCUCAGUGGGUUAAGCCUCUGCCUUAGGCUCAGGUCAU